AGGAGCGUGGAAUAAGUCAUCCUUUUAGUGUUUCUUGGGGUUCCCUUUGGAUCCGCCCUUCGAUUCUGGCGGUGCAUGCCGUGCUUUCUACGGAAGUUUUUGAGGUAGACUAAUAUAUGUGGCGUUAUCUAUAAGCUUAUAUCUCGUGCCUGUUAAAAAAUAUAGGGGGAAUUAUGUUUUGAUGGGCCAAUUUGGGAAUAAUAACAUUUUCGGAACCCAACUUUCCAUAAUCCAAGAUAUGUCCACUGUUUGGAAAAAUAUUAAAGGAAACAUUCACUAUCUACUGUUUUAAAAUGCUAUUCCAAAAUUGCCCUUUAGUUGUCCCUGUCAGCAGCCACCGUCUCUCACGACACAUCUCUCACUCGGGCAUCAAGGAGCCCUUUUCUGAAGUUGGCCUCCAGACGAGAGAAUCCCUAAAAAAGCCCUAUUUUUUCCUCUGCCAUUCUCAAUCCUCGCAGAUACUAAUCUAAUCAAGUUAUUAUUAUUUUUUUUGCAACCCCCGUUUGAUUCCCAAGAAAAUCCACCCCCAUUCGAUUUCCGGGAAAAUCCAUCCUCGUUUGAUUUCCGAGGCCCUUUUCUGAAGUUGGCCUCCAGACGAGAGAAUCCCUAAAAAAGCCCUAUUUUUUCCUCUGCCAUUCUCAAUCCUCGCAGGUACUAAUCUAAUAAGUUAUUAUUAUUUUUUUUGCAACCCCCGUUUGAUUCCCAAGAAAAUCCACCCCCAUUCGAUUUUCGGGAAAAUUCAUCCUCGUUUGAUUUCCGAGAAAAUCCAUCCUCGUUUGAUUUCCGAGAAAAUCCAUCCUCGUUUGAUUUCCGAGGCCCUUUUCUGAAGUUGGCCUCCAGACGAGAGAAUCCCUAAAAAAAGCCCUAGUUUUUCCUCUGCCAUUCUCAAUCCUCGCAGAUUUUGCAUCCUGCGUGGGCUGGUAGGAAAUAUCGGGACCUUUCACAGGGACGAUGAACAAUGGAGGGGUAUUUUCGGUAUGAAAUAACACCUCAGACCAGAAUGCAUGUUUCCUUUAAUAUUUUUCCAAACAGUGGACAUAUCUUGCAUUAUGGAAAGUUGGGUUCCGAAAAUGUUAUUAUUCCCAAA